GACGAACGCUGGCGGUGUGCUUCACACAUGCAAGUCGAACGGGGUAGCAAUACCCAGUGGCGGACGGGUGAGUAACACGUGGGAAUCUGCCUUCAAGAGGGGAAUAACUGACCGAAAGGUUAGCUAAUACCGCAUACGUCGAAAGAUAAAAGGAGCAAUCCGCUUGAAGAUGAGCCCGCGCCCGAUUAGCUAGUUGGUAGGGUAAAGGCCUACCAAGGCUACGAUCGGUAGCUGGUCUGAGAGGAUGAUCAGCCACAAUGGAACUGAGACACGGUCC
rnacentral:rRNA from 1 species